rnacentral:rRNA from 1 species
GCAAGAUUAAAACUCAAAGGAAUAGACGGGGACCCGCACAAGCGGUGGAGCAUGUGGUUUAACUCGACGAUACGCGAAGAACCUUACCUGGCCUUGACAUAGAAAGAACUUUCCAGAGACGGAUUGGUGCUAGUUUACUAGAGCUUUCAUACAGGUGCUGCACGGCUGUCGUCAGCUCGUGUCGUGAGAUGUUGGGUUAAGUCCCGCAACGAGCGCAACCCUCGUGUUUAGUUACUAACAGUUCGGCUGAGGACUCUAAACAGACUGCCUGGGUAACCAGGAGGAAGGUGAGGACGACGUCAAGUCAUCAUGGCCCUUACGGCCAGGGCUACACACGUGCUACAAUGGGGUAUACAAAGAGCUGCAAUACGGUGACGUGGAGCAAAUCUCAUAAAAUAUCUCCCAGUUCGGAUUGAAGUCUGCAACUCGACUUCAUGAAGUUGGAAUCGCUAGUAAUCGUAGAUCAGCAAUGCUACGGUGAAUACGUUCCCGGGUCUUGUACUCACCGCCCGUCACACCAUGGGAAUUGAAUUCAUUCGAAGCGGGGAUGCUAAAAUAGCUACCUUCCACAGUGGAUUUAGUAACUAGGGUGAAGUCGUAACAAGGUA